AACCAGCUCUUCAAGUGGUCGGGAAUUUUAUUGGGCUUAAAGUGUCCGUAGCCGGUUUGGAAAGUUCCUGGUUAAAUCUGGUAGCUUAACUAUCAGUCUGCUAGGAAUACUACCUUACUAGAGGGUGGGAAAGGUUUGGGGUACUUCAGGGGUAGCGGUGAAAUGCGAUAAUCCUUGGGGGACCACCAGUGGCGAAGGCGCCAGACUGGAACACGCCUGACGGUGAGGGACGAAAGCCAGGGGAGCGAACGGGAUUAGAUACCCCGGUAGUCCUGGCCGUAAACGAUGCGUGCUAGGUGUUGGUAGGGCUAUGAGCUGUAUCAGUGCCGUAGGGAAACUGUUAAGCGCGCCGCCUGGGAAGUACGCUCGGCAAGAGUGAAACUUAAAGGAAUUGGCGGGGGAGCACCACAAGGGUGAAGCCUGCGGUUC
rnacentral:rRNA from 1 species